AGUGAACGCUGGCGGUAGGCCUAACACAUGCAGGUCGAACGGCAGCACAGUAAGAGCUUGCUCUUACGGGUGGCGAGUGGCGGACGGGUGAGGAAUACAUCGGAAUCUACUUUUUCGUGGGGGAUAACGUAGGGAAACUUACGCUAAUACCGCAUACGACCUACGGGUGAAAGCAGGGGAUCUUCGGACCUUGCGCGAUUGAAUGAGCCGAUGUCGGAUUAGCUAGUUGGCGGGGUAAAGGCCCACCAAGGCGACGAUCCGUAGCUGGUCUGAGAGGAUGAUCAGCCACACUGGAACUGAGACACGGUCCAGACUCCUACGGGAGGCAGCAGUGGGGAAUAUUGGACAAUGGGCGCAAGCCUGAUCCAGCCAUACCGCGUGAGUGAAGAAGGCCUUCGGGUUGUAAAGCCCUUUUGUUGGGAAAGAAAAGCAGCAGGUUAAUACCCCGCUGUUCUGACGGUACCCAAAGAAUAAGCACCGGCUAACUUCGUG
rnacentral:rRNA from 1 species